rnacentral:tRNA from 1 species
GGGUAUGUAGCUAAGUGGUAGAGCACUUGCCCAACACGCAGGAGGCCCUGGGUCUGAUCCCCAGCCCUA